GUCUACUGCUAUACCACCCUGAACACUCCCCAUCUGAUCUCAGAAGCUAAGCAGGGUCAGGCCUGGUUAGUACCUGGAUGGGAGAAUGGUUGUUUCAAAAGAGCCUGGCGGCCAGGCACAGUGUCUC
rnacentral:rRNA from 1 species